rnacentral:lncRNA from 1 species
UGACAGGUACAGGUUGGUAAGGUACGCAGUCAGGUAGCCAAUAGGACUUUUUCCUCCUGUCAUGCAGAAGCGUUCGAUUGUUAAGCCAUAGUGAUUAAUGCUGUUUAUGAGCCUCACUCCCACUUGGGCAUGGUUGUUAGUCAUCAGAACAAUGUCAAAUCGUUCUUCAUCAUCAGGGUACAGUUCGAGAAGCCUGGCAUUGACAUGUUCUAGUGCCUUGACGAAGUGAAACGCCGGUCCGGGCUUCAGGGUGACGUUCUCGUUCUCCUGCUGGUACUCCACGUACUUCUCCACCCCUUGCUCCUCGUAGAUCCGCCGCUCCUCCACCAGGUCGAAGAGGGCUCGGGACGAGACGGCCACCGUGAUGGCAUGCUGAGGCUUGGGCGGCCGCGGUCUCUUGGUGACCAGGUUAUCGUAGAAGGCCUUGGCCGCUUCCCAGUCCCGCUCGGCUUCCUGCAGCCGGCUCUCCUCGGCGCUCCCGGGCUGCGGCGCGUCCGGCCCGGAGCCACUCAUGGUGCCGGGGGACGGGGCGCGCCUUACGGGCGCGGCCAGAGCUCAGCACCGGGAAGCGGUGGCUUUCCCUUUCGCUCCAGCCCAGCAGCACCCGCCCCUGGGGCAGCGGGGACAGAGAGCGUCCGCGCCCUACUUGAUGUUAGGCAACACCCGCCGGCGCUGAUCUGAUCUACAGAUGAGAUUUUAUCUGCGGCACUUAGAGAUUUAUUUAUUAACGUUGGCUAGAAGAAGUUUGUGGUGAAAAAAGAAAAAAAAGAUAAAAAAUACGGUAAUAAGGGUCCGGUUGGCCAUGGAGCAGCCUGGGGUCCAUGCAGCUCUUAGGAAUGGUCAUUUAAACGAUAGCAUUUGGCUUGCGUGUAGUGAGCUCAAUGAGCUGUCAUUCUGGCAGGUGGACUGAUGCUAAAAAACAGGAUCCCGCAUAGGGACACUUACAUAACAUGGCCUACUUAUCUCAUGCAUACCGCUUGGAAAUGCUCCCGGCCUAUCUGAACCGCUGCAGCGCUCCCCGUGCUGAUGGGCCAGAGGUGGUGGUGGGGAAGGAGGCAGUUCUGCUGCCUGGGCUCAGUGCAUUCACAGCCGCUGUUGACAAGCGACGACCCCACAGUGUCAGCACACAGCUCAGUUCAGAGGAGUUGAAGGCAGACCCUAAACGCACCUCAGCCCCUUGCUGUUGUGUAAUCUUCAGCAAAUCAUGUGCUUUCUGCCUCUGUCCAUCCCCAAAAGGCGUUUGCUGCUUUUGCCUGCUUUUUUUUUUUUUUCUUCUAAACAGAAUUUCCUGAUGCAAGGAAGCUUAUAUGAUCAUACCAUCUGUCCAUCGUUCCCCAGUGAUGCCCAGUUCCAGAUGAAUUUGACAGAAGGAUAAAGAUCUCAAAGAGAUUUAAAUUCUCCAAACGUUUAAUGCCCAUCAGCAGCAGCCUCCAGGAAAAGCCUGUACUGCAAAUGCAGUAUAUUAAUCUGCUUGUUCUUGUGCUACAUAACAGUGAAUGAAUGCUGCCUGGCUGCCUGCCUUCUCCAGUCAGCCCUAUUGCCCAUGGUCCCAUUGAGCACAGGGGGUCUGGAGCGGUAGGAGCUUUGUGGAAGGAAGGAGCUCAAAGUGUGUUAUUAAUGGAAAAAAAAAAAGAAGCAAACCUACACUUCUAUCUGGAAGGAUGUGAAAUAUUUCCAAACAUUUAACAUACUGAGACCAGAAGUAAGGAAAAGACUCACUAUGGAAGGACCUUUUCUGCCUUUAAAUUUGGUGUUCCACUCCUCCGUAACACCGAGAUGAUCAGAGCCCUGGCAGGGCAGCGGUCUGUCCAACUGCCAGCAGAGAAGCUCUGACCUGACAGCAGACUCAAUCUUCUGGUCUGAUGGACGAUGGUGGUGCCAGCACAUGUGUCUUCUGGAAGAUAGGAAUGUGGAUCUCACACAGCAGUAGGACUUUUUUUCCCUUUACAAUGGCCGAGCAGAGCAGCAGCAGUGCCAUUGAUUCCUGCUGUUGCCGCCCUGCUGAACGCCAAGACAGAUAAACUGUGGGAUGUUCUUAGCAGCUCCUCCAUGGGGUAGUAAGAUAAACAUGAGAAACAUAAGGAGAUAUUAAAGAGUAGAUUAUAAUCCAUUUUCAGGAAACAGCAUUUUCUCCAGCAAGAGAGACUGAACUUUAUCAAAGGGGAAACUUCUCCAGGAGGACUUGCCAAAGUAAAUCUCUUUGAUGCAAAUGGUUUAAGCAAAGACAUUCACCUUAAUCUACUGUGUGGUGACCUGCUCUUCUGAUACAAAGAAUAAUUAUGGGUGUUUUCGGAAUUGCUGUGGUCUGCAAAUCCUCCAAAUCUAAGUUCUUAAUGUUCCCGCUUCACCACUCUGAUCUUGGUCACCCACAUUUCUUGUAAUUUUGGCCUUGCUUAAUGCCUUUAGGUGUUGUUACUUGGAAAGACUUCACUGCCUUUUGAAGGACAGAUCAAAAAAUAACAAGCUUUUUUUUUUUUUUACCUUUACAUUUAAUUGUUGUGCCUGGGUCUAAUAAAGUGAAUGACCCACAAAUAACUUGAUCGAAGUGCAGAACACAGUGGAGUGGAGAAGACGAGUGUUUAGCUGUUGAAAUCAAUACUUUCAUGCAGAUUGAUGUCUGUGCCAGUUUGCCAUCCCGGACGUUUUCAGUUUAGUUUAUUUGUGUUACAGUAGUAGUGACAAUGUAGUUAAAUAUAGCCUCUGAAAACAGGAUCUCUGCUUGUUUCAUUUGUAUUCUACUGUUCUUUCAUUAAACAUUUCUUCAUCUUUGCAGAGCCAAAUUCUUACAAUAAUAAAUCAGAGACACCUAAAGUUCUUGCCAAGUCAAAUAUCUACAGUUUCUGGCAAUUAUGUAAUUUCCAGAUUUGCUACAAUGACUCUUGCCGAUAAGUCAAUUGUCAUAAAAAGAAAUGUUCCAGACCAAUCUUUAUUAGGGUGUCCUUCACUGAUCUGUGUAAAAUAAUCCCCCUCCAGCCCCACUUUCUUUUAGAAAAGAGAAACAUAAUUACAGCUUUUUCCCUUGCUAUGAAUGACUCUUCAUCAUAACAAUUUAUAUCUGGAAAAUGUCACAAGAAAAUGUGAAAAAGGUAAGUUUAAACCAAAGAAAUCAGGAACUGCUGUUAUUAAUAGAACAGCUCAGAAAUGUUUCCCAUGAUGUGUUAUAAUGGCUCUGUCUUAUAAUAAAAUUUAACAGUGAUGUAUUUCCCUUGUUCUCAAGUUGAUUUUGUAUUAGAAGUCCAGACAAAAGUAAUUUGUAGCAAAGGUCCCUGAUCCAAUGUCUGUAUAUGGAAAAGACUCAAAGGACUUUGUGCCCAUUUAAAAGUCCUUUAAAAUGAUUAAUGGCUAAAUGCAUUACAAAUUAUCAAGUAUUUCACACUGACAAAACAGAGAACUUAUUCUGAAUUUG